rnacentral:rRNA from 1 species
AGCGAACGCUGGCGGCAGGCUUAACACAUGCAAGUCGAACGGAUCCUUCGGGAUUAGUGGCGGACGGGUGAGUAACACGUGGGAAUGUGCCUUUAGGUACGGAACAACUCAGGGAAACUUGAGCUAAUACCGUAUGUGCCCUUCGGGGGAAAGAUUUAUCGCCUUUAGAGCAGCCCGCGUCUGAUUAGCUAGUUGGUAGGGUAAAGGCCUACCAAGGCGACGAUCAGUAGCUGGUCUGAGAGGAUGAUCAGCCACAUUGGGACUGAGACACGGCCCAAACUCCUACGGGAGGCAGCAGUGGGGAAUCUUGCGCAAUGGGCGAAAGCCUGACGCAGCCAUGCCGCGUGAAUGAUGAAGGUCUUAGGAUUGUAAAAUUCUUUCAGUGGGGACGAUAAUGACGGUACCCACAGAAGAAGCCCCGGCUAACUUCGUGCCAGCAGCCGCAGUAA